UUUUUCGAUUUUUUGUUCUAUUAAAUUAUCUUUUCUAAUUGAAAUAAAAAAAGUAUUGAUAAAUUUGAAACUUUGUGUUUGUAUCGAUACUUGUUCCAUGAUCAUGCUGUAUAGAAACGAACAAUGUAGGGACGAUUGUUGGAAGUUUUCGGUGGUUUGAUGUUUUAUUGCGACACAAUUUCUUCUGAAAACGUCCUUCGCUGCGCUAAUCACCUAAAUCUUAUGUGUUUUGUAUGGUUGAAAUUGCGGGUAUAACAAUUGUUUGCCUACUUCGCCUCUGUUCGUGGCUUCUAGUUACUGUCCAAUACAAGUUGUCAACAAUCAUUUGGGGCUUUAUGACCACGAUUCGGUCUCCAAUUUAUCUAGGAUAUUAUUCUCUUGAAUUUCCAUAUUUUUUUCCCAAAGAUUAAGGUCACAAUCAAAAUACAUUCCGUUGUGUUCAAUAUUUUCUGACUUUGGAAUAUUUCAUCUUUCGUUUUCAUAUAUGGAUCAUGUUGCUCAUCUUUAUGCCUACUUUGUCUUUAAUCGAAAGGACCGCAAUGCUUUACUCCUUGUAGUUAUCAGUUUAUAUAUAUAGCUGGAAUUCUGUUGUACAUUUUUUCAGGAAAAUGUGAACGCGGAGUAUCCCGCGUUGAUCCAUGAAUCAGAGGUGUAUAACAGACUAAAGGGAGGAGGUCAUGGCCUCAGCCACUAUCCCUGAAGCUUUUUGUAUAUUUGUUUAUUUGUUGUUUACUAUAUGUACACAUAUGUUUAUAUAGUUUAGUUCUAACCCCUAUGAACUCUUCGUUGGUGGGCUUCUGUAUUGGACUUUGGCAGCUGGAAUUUCAAAAGUGAGAUGGAUUGGAGUGGAAGGAGACCACAAUGCUCUUGUGAUGGACGUAAUGGGACUUAGUCUCGAGAAUUUUUCACCUGCUGCAGCAAGAAAUUCUCUUUGAAGACUGUCCUCAUGCUUGCUGAAAAAAUGAUCAAUCGUGUGGAGUUUGUCCAUUCCAAAUCAUUUCUACACCAGGAUAUCAAGCCAGAAAACUUCCUAUUUGGUGCCAUUAAACAACCUAAUGAGGUUCUUUCGAUAUGUUUUUUUAUGUCCUGUGUAAACACUAUAGCUUUAUUCCGUGUUCUGAAUAUGCUGAUGCAUAUUCCUUAUAGGUUGGUGGCUUGUUUUAUUCUUUCGGUGUUGUCUUUAUUGUUCAGCGGCUGAUUGUAUCUUGCUUCAAAGUUGCACUUCGGAAAUGCCGUCAGUUUGGGUUCCACUGUCUCUAUUUUCAAUGAUUAAAGUGUUUUUGAAAACCCAAAUGUUUAUUUUCCGGCGCUUAAGCUAGAUUAGAUGUGUAGUCCACUGAGAAUGGAUCCACACAUUAUGAUUAUAAGUGAACUUGUGGCUACCGAGUUUCUAAUGUCAAGUUCUCAUGUAUAUAACGCAGAGACGGUAAGAAGUGGAAACAUAAUGUAGCAUAUUCAAGCAUCAAUGCUCACCGUGGCGUUGCAAAGCUGCCGGGAUGAUUUAGAAUCACUUGGAUAUGUGCUUACGUACUUUCUACGAGGAAGUCUGCCUUGGCAAGAGGUGUCAGCAAGUACUAGAGAGGAAGAGUGUGAGAAGAUGUGUGAAAUAAAAGAGUCAAUUUCAAUAGAGG